CCUCAACAAGCACCUGCAAAGAACACAUGCUAAGACCUGUCUGUGCAACAGCCUCAACAAGAGAACAGGAAGUCGCAGAAAAAACCUGCUAAAGCCAAGACGCCUGUAAAAGGCCUGUCUGUGCAACAGCCUCAACAAGAGAACAGGAAGUCGCAGAAAAAACAUGCUAAGGCCA